AGAUGAAGAGGUUGUUCUUGGACAAUAUGAAGGCUAUAAGGAUGACCCAACAGUUCCUAACAACUCAAAUACUCCUACUUUUGCAACUAUGGUUUUACGCAUACACAAUGAAAGAUGGGAAGGUGUCCCCUUUAUAAUGAAGGCUGGAAAAGCACUAAAUUCAAGAAAGGCAGAAAUACGAGUGCAGUUUAAGGAUGUUCCUGG
rnacentral:misc_RNA from 1 species